CAGUGAUGUGGUGGGGACUGAGAGAGAGAGAGAGAGAGAGAGAGAGGGAGAGAGAGAGAGAGAGAGAAUGUGCACCAUAGCGUCAUAGCUAACAUUCCCGGCGUGGUAGCUGUUUCUAUAGAAAUCAGCCCUGUACUGUGUACAUCACUUGCGUGAGGCUGUCUCCACUCAUAACAGUUUUCCAUGUCAACCGUUCUUCCAGAAUGAUAUUUUUAGCGAUUGCACAAUAUUUCACUACAUUUAAGUGUGAUUUAUUUAAAUUAUCCCCUCCUGUUGAACCUUGAGAUUGUUUCCAAUUGUUGCUUUUAAAAUACAGUGAGAUUAACUCCAUCAGUCAUCUAUCCUUGUCAGCAUUUUGGAUGACAGGGCUUCCUCAGAUGGGCUUUUUGUAGGAGGAGGAUUACUGCGGACAAAGGGUGCAGAUAGCUUUCAGGCUUUUAUUCAGGUUGCCAGACGCCUUCUCAGAGAGAUCUCGCGGACUGACACCCUCACCUGCGGCGGAGGAUGCUGACUGCUCAGCCCACACAGGAGGGGCCGGGGGAGCGGUCUCGCUAUGUAUCCCAGGCUGGCCUCGAACUCGCAGGUGUCUUCCUGCCUCAGCCUCAAUAAAGCAGGACUCUGGGUCAUAGAGGUAAAGGGGAAUUUGAGGAGGGGGAACCCUUUCUCGUGAGAAUAAGGGUGUUGACAGCCCAGUUGCAUAGAUGACCUUGACUUUGAGCCACUCUUUCAGGGAACAGUUAAUUCCUGUUUUAUAUAAAAUCUUCCAAAAAAAAAUUAGAGCAAGAGUUGCCCAGAUCAUUUUGUGAAACCGAUGUGUUUUUGAUUCCAAAGUUGUUAAGGACAAAAUAAUAAAUGAGAAAGUGAAGCUCAUUUCACCUAUGAAAGUAGGGAUAAAAGUC
rnacentral:lncRNA from 1 species